rnacentral:rRNA from 1 species
UACGAAGGGGGCUAGCGUUGCUCGGAAUCACUGGGCGUAAAGCGCACGUAGGCGGCUUUUUAAGUCAGGGGUGAAAUCCUGGAGCUCAACUCCAGAACUGCCUUUGAUACUGAGAAGCUCGAGUCCGGGAGAGGUGAGUGGAACUGCGAGUGUAGAGGUGAAAUUCGUAGAUAUUCGCAAGAACACCAGUGGCGAAGGCGGCUCACUGGCCCGGUACUGACGCUGAGGUGCGAAAGCGUGGGGAGCA